rnacentral:lncRNA from 1 species
CGAACUAUUAGUACUUUUUGAGCCGCAUCUAAAUAAAUACAAACAAUUUGGUAACAAUUCAAAUCAUGCAAUUUUUCCGUUUCUCUUGAAUCAAAUUUUAGCUGAGAAAAAGGCUCACAAAGUCACCGGAUAUCAACCAAAAGCGGAUGAGCAGUCGCGCGUAUCUGAUGAGCAGUGUUUUUGGCCGCCACGCCACUUGAAACCAUCCGAACUCUAUCGAUCCAAUCUCGCGGUCGUGUUGCUGUUUGCUUGCGCGCGCUGCGGUGCCGUUUAGCUGAGAUUGACGCAACACUCAUCAAAAUUAAACGUCAGGGCAGAGGACGAUAUCAAUUUGUCAUUCCCGUGUCCCUGACUUGGAGCAGAAUUUUUCUCGCAGACUAGAAGACAUGAACCGGAUUUUUUUUAAUUUCAGUGCCUACAAAGAUUCAUGGACGAGGCAAACCAAGGCGUGAUUUACUUCUAUCUAGGCUCAAUGGUGGACGAUGAACUUUGGGAGCCAGGAGAUUUCAAUCCAUAAUCACUGCGCUGGGGCGUUUAAAGCAGCGGGUUGUGUUCAACUGGAAAGAAUCAGCCUCUUUCAAACCGUCUGCGAACGUGCUGGUCCACCCUUGGGCGCCCCAACAGGACAUUUUAGGACACCGGAACUGUGUGCUGUUGGUGACACAUGGUGGUCAGAGGAGCCUGAUCGAAGUGACGUGGGCGGGUGUGCCAGUGCUGUGCAUCCCGGUGUUCUCCGACCAGUUCCAGAACGUCCGCUUCUACGAGGAGAGCGGCAUCGGCAAGCGCCUCGACCUGGAACUCCUCACCUGCGACACUCUCGUCAAUUCCAUCAACACAAUCAUCGAUACGCCGUCAUCAGCUGAAGAGCCUGACGAGUUUAAGCAUCUGGUUGGCUGUGAAGUGGCAUUUUCUGAAGGUUUUUAAGCAAACGAACUCGGAGCGUUUUUUUCGGCCCAGCGCAGCUGCAGCUUUGAACUGAUCUCGGGCAGGGUCUGGACCGAAUCCGUCCUCGGCGCUGAAAAAGCAGACCACAUCGAUUAGGAUAAAACCUUCUUGCAACGAGUUACUUGCGGAGCAUAGCCUGCGGUUAUGCGCAAAAACUCAUUUUUUGCACGCAAAAGCAAGCAUUGUUGCCAAAGUGUGCUGAAAAAUCAGAAUGCAGAUGUUGCAUGUGUGAGGAAUUUGCGAUUUGACUUUUGAUUCUUAUGUAAAAGUUCGCGAGAAACAAAAUGGUGGCGCUGGUUUUCUCUGAAAUCAACACCCAAGUUCAAAAAGAGCUCUCAAGUUGGGGCCAAAAUGGAGGGGAUAUCUCACCCUACCCUGAGAGUCCAACUCUACAUCAAGACGAACUCUCCGCGCAAAGAUUGGGAGCAAAUACAUUGACAGGGCUGCCACUAUAUUUGGGGACUCCAAAACUGAAAACACGGCAACCCUGCUAAUGUAUCUGCUCCCUAUCUCUACAUGGAGAGUUUGUCUUGAUGUAGACGUGGACUCUCGGGGUAGGGUGGGAUAUCCCCUCCAUUUUGACCUCAACUUGAAAGCUUUUUUUUGAACUUGGGAGUUGAUUUCAGAAAAAACCAGUAGCACCACCGUGUUUCUCGCUAAUUUUUACAUAAAAAUCAACAGUCAAAUCGCAAACUCCUCACACAUGCAACAUCUCCAUUAUCCCCGCAUUAAAUCCAUGUUAAAUAUCUCACUUCAAUGGCACAACCUGGUAACUUUGCAAUAAUGCCAGGUUGGUUGCAUGAAUUUGAUGAUUGUACUGCUCUGGGGCCGAAUUUUGUCGGCUUUCUCACAGGGAGUGCAACAUCCAUCGAUGAGUUCAAACCGCACCACCGACCAAUCAGAAGCGCUAAGCCGGACUUAAGUGCAGUCGAGACCCGUCCUAAGUAUAUUUCAGUACGAUGGAAGGACUGACAAAUUCGGCCCCUGGGCUACUAAAGAAGUACACAGUGCUAGAGAAAUAACAUUGUCAGUGGCGUGGCGUGAUUUGCGAUAUAUCGAUUGUUAUGCCAUUUAAACCUAUGGAGAAGGAUCGAUUAUUAAGGUGUUCGCUGCGAACACCCUGUUUAUCGAUCCUUUUCCAUAGGUUUAAAUGUCAUAACAAUCGAUAAAUCGCAGAGCACGCCACGCCACUGAACAUUGUAUGAAUAUUCAGAUGUUGCCCAAUUUUUCCAAUAAAAUAAUUAUUUUUGAGAGCAGUUAUGAAUUGUAGCCCGCAUUGAAAUUUGUCGAUACGUAACAUAGAAUGACGGGUGUAUUUCUUUGAAAAAUAUCAAGAACAAGUUCACAAGUUUUCUCGCGGAUUCGAAUAUCAUCAGAGAAAAUUUUGCAAACUUUUUAUGCUCAUACAAAGUUUUUUUUAGCUAGUAUAUGAAAAAGUAGACUUUCAGAGUACCCUUAACGUUGUCUAACUUAUAUUUCGUCCCAAGUUUGUAUUAGUUUUUUGGAAAGUUAAUAUUUCAGUGUUAAUGGGUCAGUUGCGCUGUUCAUAGAAUCGUGUUUUUGCUUGGUUCUUUUGGAUUAGCUAAAGAUAAAACGACCUGUACAAACAGCAACUUUCUACGUUCAAUAAUAAGCGAGAUAUCCCGCUUUGAAACAUUCGGUUUUUGACAUCACCUUGCUUUCAUCCGAGUUUCACACAUUGACAUGGAACAUCGUAUCGAAUUUGGGGCAAUUAGGUACUCUAUAAUACUGGACCAGGAAAUAAUAAAAGUCCAGUUUAUACAUUUAUUGUUGUCAUUUUUCCACGAGCGCAUUCAGUCAUACAUUUUUCGGAGGUGCUACAAUAGGCACGUAAUAUUGUACCCACCAAUCCGAAAAAUUAUUGAAAGUUAUGCAACUUUCCAAUAAGGCAAAACUGAACAAGGAGGAACAAGGAAGACGAAGAUAUUAAAACUUGAAGGAUUCAUUGAUCUCUGAGAUACAAUACGAAGAUUUUCACAUGCCUUCAUUGCAAAUGAAGUUUCGCGAAUCGCGACCCGGGUAAAAUUCCACAAAUUUUCCACUGAAACUCCUGCCGAAAUUGUUACUCAUUCCCACAGAAUGAGGAUAUUUAAAUUGUUUUGCCUUGCAGUUCGCGUGAGCGCCAAAAACUUACGAGGCAUGAUAUUCAAGGUUAAUAGAAUUUUAGCGGGUCGCACGGUUUAUCUUCACGAUAAAUCAUUCUACUGCGCACCUAAACGGAAAACCUCAAAAUCUUGUGAAUCUUCAGUUGAAUAUUUUCUGGUAACAUGAAAUCCAUUCCAUUGCAAGAAUUUUACCAAACCAAAAGCGGCACGUGGUCCAGUGGAAAGUAUAAAGAAGGUGGGGGUGCCUCCACGCGUGUGAGCUUUGGAGAAAAUCUGAUAUUUUCAUACAUCGAACGCAAAUGACUUCAUCAUUUAUUAACAUUCAAAGAGCGAUUAUCACAUCUUGACUCAUUGGCUUGUGAAACUGACUCAGACCUGAAUGGACAAUCAUAUUAGAUAAAAUUGUUCCCAAGUGUCUCUUUAUUUUGUUAUUUUGUUUUUAUUUUUGUUUUUGUGAAAAAGAAAAAUGGAUCGAAUUUGACAAAGAGGGACCAACUCGAUCAUUCAAAGGCGGAUCCAGACACUACGAACGGGGGGGGGGGGGGAGGAGGGAUGUUCCGGGGACUCCCCCGGAUAUUUUCGAAAUUUUAGAGCAUUGAAUAUGCAGUUUGAGUCAAUUUUGUCAAAUAAUUUUUCAAUACGAGCGUUCUUCCUCCUUUAUUCCCUCUGUUCCUUUGCUCCUCUCUCUUCCCUUUUUCUUCCUCCUCAUUUUCGAGA